UGUGUAUAGUGUGAAACAAAGCAAAUGAGGAAUUGCAUUGGUGUUACUUAGAACUAAGAUUUGGGGCAUGAAAUAAAAUAAAUACUGACGUAAGAUCUAUGAUGUUAAGUAAUAUCUUUGUAGUCCUGAUUUCUAAUGGGAAGUGUCAGUAUAAAUUCAUAAUUCAUUUUAUUUUUUAAAAAUGUAUAUCUUCUAUCUUGGACGAUUUCCAAAAUAAUCAAAGAAAGGGUAUCUAGGAAAGUGGGUGGGGUCAUAAGGAAACAAGACGAGCAUUUCUAUACCAGAAAAUAAGGAAACUUUGGCUCAGAUGAUCUUACCCCCUCAACCUUCCUCAGAAGGCCAGGAGCACAGGCAUGCACCACCAUGCUCAGCUAAUUUUUGCAUUUUUUUGUCAAAUGGGGUUUCGCCACGUUGUCCAGGCUUGUCUCAAAAUCCUGAGCUCAAGCAAUUUGCCUACCUCAGCCUCCCAAAGUGCUGGGACUACAGGUGGGAGCCACCACCAAGCCUCUUUUCUUUAUUGGUGUCUUCAAUUUUUUUAGCAACAUUUUGUAAUUUUGAGUGCACAAAUCUUUCACCUCCUUAGUUAACAUUAUUCCUAGGUAUUUUAUUCCUUCUGAAGCUAUUCUAAAUUGUUUUAUUAAUUUCUCUUUUUACUUUUCAUUUUUAGUGUAUAGAAACAUCACUGAUUUUUGUGCGUUGGUUUUUUAUCUUGCAAAUUUACUGAAUUUGUCUGUUAGUUCUAAAAGAUUUUGGGGGGUCUUUAGGAUUCUCCACGUAUUAGAUCACGUUAUCUGUGAAAACUGAUAAUUUACUUCUUCCUUUCCAAUUUGGCUACAUUUUUAAUUUUUCAUGCCUAAUUGCUUAGAAAUUCUAAUACUACGUUGAAUUGAAGUAAUGAAAAAUAGCACCCUCAUCUUGUUUGUGAUUUGGUGGGAAAAGCUUUCAGUUUUUCACCAUUCAUUGCAUGUGAUG
rnacentral:lncRNA from 10 species